UACAGAGGGUGCAAGCGUUAUUCGGAAUUACUGGGCGUAAAGCGCGCGUAGGUGGUUUGUUAAGUCUGAUGUGAAAGCCCCGGGCUUAACCUGGGAACUGCGUUGGAAACUGAAAGACUAGAGUACGGCAGAGGGGGGUAGAAUUCCACGUGUAGCAGUGAAAUGCGUAGAUAUGUGGAGGAAUACCGAUGGCGAAGGCAGCCCCCUGGGUCGAUACUGACGCUCAUGCACGAAAGCGUGGGUAGCAAACAGG
rnacentral:rRNA from 1 species